AUACGUAGGUGGCAAGCGUUAUCCGGAAUUAUUGGGCGUAAAGAGGGAGCAGGCGGCAGCAAGGGUCUGUGGUGAAAGCCUGAAGCUUAACUUCAGUAAGCCAUAGAAACCAGGCAGCUAGAGUGCAGGAGAGGAUCGUGGAAUUCCAUGUGUAGCGGUGAAAUGCGUAGAUAUAUGGAGGAACACCAGUGGCGAAGGCGACGAUCUGGCCUGCAACUGACGCUCAGUCCCGAAAGCGUGGGGAGCAAAUAGGAUUAGAUACCCUAGUAGUCCACGCCGUAAACGAUGAGUACUAAGUGUUGGAUGUCAAAGUUCAGUGCUGCAGUUAACGCAAUAAGUACUCCGCCUGAGUAGUACGUUCGCAAGAAUGAAACUCAAAUGAAUUGACGGGG
rnacentral:rRNA from 1 species